UUUAUGGAGAGUUUGAUCCUGGCUCAGGAUGAACGCUGGCGGUGUGCCUAAUACAUGCAAGUCGAGCGAACAGACGAGGAGCUUGCUCCUUUGACGUUAGCGGCGGACGGGUGAGUAACACGUGGGUAACCUACCUAUAAGACUGGGAUAACUUCGGGAAACCGGAGCUAAUACCGGAUAAUAUUUCGAA
rnacentral:rRNA from 1 species